rnacentral:rRNA from 1 species
AACGAACGCUGGCGGCAUGCCUAACACAUGCCAGUCGAACGAGACCUUCGGGUCUAGUGGCGCACGGGUGUGUAACGCGUGGGAACCUGCCCUUAGGUUCGGAAUAACUCCCCGAAAGGGGUGCUAAUACCGGAUAAUGUCUUCGGACCAAAGAUUUAUCGCCUUUGGAUGGGCCCGCGUUGGAUUAGCUAGUUGGUAGGGUAAAAGCCUACCAAGGCGACGAUCCAUAGCUGGUCUGAGAGGAUGAUCAGCCACACUGGGACUGAGACACGGCCCAGACUCCUACGGGAGGCAGCAGUGGGGAAUAUUGGACAAUGGGCGAAAGCCUGAUCCAGCAAUGCCGCGUGAGUGAUGAAGGCCUUAGGGUUGUAAAGCUCUUUUACCCGGGAUGAUAAUGACAGUACCGGGAGAAUAAGCUCCGGCUAACUCCGUG